rnacentral:rRNA from 1 species
AAUGAACGUUGGCGGCGUGGAUUAGGCAUGCAAGUCGCGCGAGAACUGUAGCAAUACAGGGAAAGCGGCGUAAGGGACAGUAAUACCUAGAAACGUACCCCCGGGUCUGGGAUAGCGGCGGGAAACUGCCGGUAAUACCAGAUAACGUCUCCGGACCAAAGGUGUGAUUCCACCUGGGGAGCGGUCUAGGCCCUAUUAGCUUGUUGGUGGGGUAACGGCCUACCAAGGCAAAGAUGGGUAGCAGGUGUGAGAGCACGACCUGCGUCACUGGGACUGAGACACUGCCCAGACACCUACGGGUGGCUGCAGUCGAGAAUCUUCGGCAAUGGGCGCAAGCCUGACCGAGCGACGCCGCGUGCGGGAUGAAGGCCUUCGGGUUGUAAACCGCUGUCGAAGGGGAUGAAAUUCCGGAGGGUUCUCUCUCCGGAUUGACAGAUCCUUGGAGGAAGGACGGGCUAAGUUCGUGCCAGCAGCCGCAGUAACAC